AAAGAUUUAUUGCUGAUAGCACGGCCCGCGGAAGAUUAGGUAGUUGGUGGGGUAAAUGCCUACCAAGCCUACGAUCUAUAGCUGGUCUGAGAGGACGAUCAGCCACAUUGGGACUGAGACACGGCCCAAACUCCUACGGGAGGCAGCAGUGAGGAAUAUUGGGCAAUGGGGGCAACCCUGACCCAGCCAUGCCGCGUGAGUGAAGAAGGUCUUCGGAUUGUAAAGCUCUUUCGGACGUGACGAUGAUGACGGUAGCGUCUAAAGAAGCACCGGCAAACUUCGUGCCAGCAGCCGCGGUAAUACGGAGGAUGCGAGCGUUAUCCGGAUUUAUUGGGUUUAAAGGGUGCGUAGGCUGUAAUGUAAGUCAGUGGUGAAAUCUUCUUGCUCAACAAGGAACGUGCCAUUGAUACUGCAUUACUGGAAUGGGGAUGCCGUAUGCGGAAUGUGUGGUGUAGCGGUGAAAUGCAUAGAUAUCACACAGAACACCGAUUGCGAAGGCAGCAUACGAAUCCUUGAUUGACGCUGAGGCACGAAAGUGUGGGGAUCAAACAGGAUUAGAUACCCUGGUAGUCCACACAGUAAACGAUGAUGACUCGCUGUCGGCGAUACAAUGUCGGUGGUCAAGAGAAAUCGAUAAGUCAUCCACCUGGGGAGUACGACCGCAAGGUUGAAACUCAAAGGAAUUGACGGGGGCCCGCACAAGCGGAGGAACAUGUGGUUUAAUUCGAUGAUACGCGAGGAACCUUACCCGGGCUCGAACGGCUGGUGAACGAUUCAGAGAUGAAGAGGUCCUUCGGGACGCCAGUCGAGGUGCUGCAUGGUUGUCGUCAGCUCGUGCCGUGAGGUGUCGGCUUAAGUGCCAUAACGAGCGCAACCCUUGCCAAUAGUUACCAUCAGGUCAAGCUGGGGACUCUAUUGGGACUGCCGCCGUAAGGUGAGAGGAGGGGGGGGAUGACGUCAAAUCAGCACGGCCCUUACGUCCGGGGCGACACACGUGUUACAAUGGCAGGUACAGAGGGCGGCCAGGCAGCGAUGCCGCGCAAAUCUCGAAAGCCUGUCUCAGUUCGGAUUGGAGUCUGCAACUCGACUCCAUGAAGUUGGAUUCGCUAGUAAUCGCGCAUCAGCCAUGGCGCGGUGAAUA
rnacentral:rRNA from 1 species